GUUUCCGUAGCUCAGCCGGAUAGAGCGUCCGCCUCCUAAGCGGAAGGCCGCGAGUUCGAAUCUCGCCGGGAACGCCA
rnacentral:tRNA from 1 species